UACAGAGGGUGCGAGCGUUAAUCGGAAUUACUGGGCGUAAAGCGCGCGUAGGCGGCUUUGCAAGUCGGGUGUGAAAUCCCCAAGCUUAACUUGGGAACUGCAUUCGAGACUGCAUUGCUAGAGUAUGGGAGAGGGAAGUGGAAUUUCCGGUGUAGCGGUGAAAUGCGUAGAUAUCGGAAGGAACAUCAGUGGCGAAAGCGACUUCCUGGACCAAGACUGACGCUCAUGUGCGAAAGCGUGGGGAGCAAACAGG
rnacentral:rRNA from 1 species